rnacentral:misc_RNA from 1 species
GAUGAAGAACGCAGUGAAAUGCGAUACGUAAUGUGAAUUGCAGAAUUCAGUGAAUCAUCGAAUCUUUGAACGCACAUUGCGCCUGCCAGCACUCUGGCAGGCAUGCCUGUUCGAGCAUCAUUUCAACCAUCAAGCCCUAGGCUUGCGUUGGAGCCCUGCGGCUGCCGCAGGCCCCUAAAAGCAGUGGCGGGCUCGCUAUCACACCGAGUGCAGUAGAUUACUCUUCGCUCAGGGCGUGUGGCGGGUUCCAGCCGUGAAACCCCCUACUUCUCAAGGUUGACCUCGGAUCAGGUAGGAAUACCCGCUGAACUUAAGCAUAUCAAUAAGCGGAGGA